AUGCGUGAGGGAAUCAUCCUAGGGUUUGGCGUUAGUGACCGAGGAGGUGGAGGCGCCGCCGAUGGUGCGCAAGCCGUGCACGAGGCCAUGGCGACUCCACAAAGACUGCUCCGCUCUCCAGAACCCUCAACCACGUGCUCUCCGACCACCACUCCCUCCUCCGCUCCAACUUCGCUGCAUCGCUGCGCUCCACAUCACCAUGCCAACGAUACUGAAGUUAAGCGGGCAGUUUGUCUCUCUGUGCACACCCCAUGGAGAGACAAAAUAGGCGGAGAGGUGUACAGGCUGUACGACGUAGGGGGUCAAAGAAGUGAGAGGAGGAAGUGGAUUCAUCUCUUUGAAGGUGUUAACGUCGUUAUAACUUGUGCAGCCAUUAGAGAGUACGAUCAUUUGUUACUUGAGGACAAGACGCCGAACAGAAUGAUGGAGACCAAGGAGCUGUUCGACUGGGUGUUAAAGCAAAGAUGUUUGGAGAAAACAUCAUUCAUGCUGUUCCUCAACAAAUUCGACAUAUUCGAGAGGAAAAUACAAAAGGUCUCUUUGACCGUGUGCGAGUGGUUUAAAGACUAUGAGCCGAUUGCGCCUGGCAAAGUACAGGAUGUGGAACAUCCCUAUGAGUUUGUGAAGAAGAAGUUUGAGGAGGUCUUCAAGAGCAGCAAGCACGACCAUAUUGACCGGGUGUUCAAGAUCUAUAAAACGAUGGCGUUGGACCGGAAACUUUUAAAGAAGACGUUCAGGCUGAUCGACAAGAGCAUGAGACGCUCAAAGGAGGGAAACAGGAGCGUGAUUGAUCAUUCUGUGCUUAAAUUUAAGUGGAACUUUUCUCACUAA
rnacentral:rRNA from 1 species